rnacentral:rRNA from 1 species
CCUACGGGCGGCAGCAGUGGGGAAUAUUGGACAAUGGGCGAAAGCCUGAUCCAGCCAUGCCGCGUGUGUGAAGAAGGCCUUCGGGUUGUAAAGCACUUUCAGUGGGGAAGAAAGCCUUGGGGCUAAUACCCUCGAGGAAGGACAUCACCCACAGAAGAAGCACCGGCUAACUCCGUGCCAGCAGCCGCGGUAAUACGGAGGGUGCGAGCGUUAAUCGGAAUUACUGGGCGUAAAGCGCGCGUAGGCGGUCUGAUAAGCCGGUUGUGAAAGCCCCGGGCUCAACCUGGGAACGGCAUCCGGAACUGUCAGGCUAGAGUGCAGGAGAGGAAGGUAGAAUUCCCGGUGUAGCGGUGAAAUGCGUAGAGAUCGGGAGGAAUACCAGUGGCGAAGGCGGCCUUCUGGACUGACACUGACGCUGAGGUGCGAAAGCGUGGGUAGCAAACAGGAUUAGUACCCCUGUAGUC